rnacentral:rRNA from 1 species
UUUAGAUCAGUGGACGUCAGGACGAACGCUGGCGGCGUGCCUAACACAUGCAAGUCGAACGGAGUGAAGCCCUUCGGACGUUUACUUAGUGGCGAACGGGUGAGUAACGCGUGAGGAACCUGCCUUUCAGUGGGGACAACAGUUGGAAACGACUGCUAAUACCGCAUGAUACUUUUGGAGGCAUCUCUGGAAAGUCAAAGAUUUAUUGCUGAAAGAUGGUCUCGCGUCUGAUUAGCUAGUUGGCGGGGUAACGGCCCACCAAGGCGACGAUCAGUAGCCGGUCUGAGAGGAUGAACGGCCACAUUGGGACUGAGAUACGGCCCAGACUCCUACGGGAGGCAGCAGUGGGGAAUAUUGGGCAAUGGGCGAAAGCCUGACCCAGCAACGCCGCGUGAAGGAAGAAGGCCUUCGGGUUGUAAACUUCUUUUAGCAGGGACGAAGGACGUGACGGUACCUGCAGAAAAAGCAACGGCUAACUACGUG